UAUAAAAAUUAAGUAUACAAUUGAAUCAUUCUCAGUAACUUUGCCAAGUGAUGCAGCAAUCUCACGAAGACAUUCUUAGAACAUUUUCAUCACUCCAAUAAGAUUCUACAAGCCCUUUACAGAAUGCAGGAUCUUAGUUCCCUGACCAGGGAUCAAACCCGUGUCCCUCUGCGGUGGAAGUGCGGAGCCCUAACCCCUGGACCGCCAGGGAAUUCACCACAUAUGCUGUUGAGAGGAAGAUGAUUUGCAUCCUUGGCACCUUGACAGGUGUCCUGGAAAUCUUUUUGCAUCAGCAUUUAGUAUAUUUACCUCAUUUAAGAGCAAUUCUGCCCUUUUUGGCUGAAGGAGCUCGUGAGAAUAUACAGAGACUAGCAGCCAUGUUUCAAUCCUGCAGUAAACCUGAUGUCCAAGUCUCAAAUGGAGCACAGCCCCAUCGAACAUCCAACUGCAACUGGGUCCAAGGAUGCCUCUUUGCAGGAUGCCAAGAGAAUUUGAGACUCUUCUCAAAAUCUUCUGACUCAUCUGCCUGUGAUUUCCAGCUUGAAAUAAGUGAUGCUUGUUGGUGAUGCUUGAGUGCUUUUCAGAAUGCUUGAAGAUUUAGGUAGCUUCAAGAACAGUUUUAUCCUACAAAUAAAGUGUGAACUAGGAGUUCAGAAAAAAAUGU